rnacentral:rRNA from 1 species
GACGAACGCUGGCGGCGUGCUUAACACAUGCAAGUCGAACGGUGAAGGGAUCAGCUUGCUGGUUCUGGAUGAGUGGCGAACGGGUGAGUAACACGUGAGUAACCUGCCCCCUUCUUCUGGAUAACCGCAUGAAAGUGUGGCUAAUACGGGAUAUUCUGCGCCUGCUGCAUGGUGGGUGUGGGAAAGAUAUUGUUUCGGUGGGGGAUGGGCUCGCGGCCUAUCAGCUUGUUGGUGGGGUGAUGGCCUACCAAGGCGGUGACGGGUAGCCGGCCUGAGAGGGGGGACGGUCACACUGGGACUGAGACACGGCCCAGACUCCUACGGGAGGCAGCAGUGGGGAAUAGUGCACAAUGGGCGCAAGCCUGAUGCAGCGACGCCGCGUGAGGGAUGGAGGCCUUCGGGUUGUGAACCUCUUUCGCCAGUGAAGCAGGCCUGUCCCGUGUGGGUGGGUUGACGGUAGCUGGAGAAGAAGCGCCGGCUAACUACGUG